CGGACGGGUGAGUAACGCGUAGGUAUCUAUCCUUGGGUGGGGGGACAACUGUGGGAAACUACAGCUAAUACCGCAUGACGACUGAGGUCCAAAGCAGCAAUGCGCCUGAGGAGGAGCCUGCGUACGAUUAGCUAGUUGGUGGGGUAAAGGCCUACCAAGGCGACGAUCGUUAGCUGGUCUGAGAGGAUGAUCAGCCACAUUGGGACUGAGACACGGCCCAA
rnacentral:rRNA from 1 species